GAUGAACGCUGGCGGCGUGCCUAAUACAUGCAAGUCGAACGCGCAGCGAAAGGUGCUUGCACCUUUCAAGCGAGUGGCGAACGGGUGAGUAACACGUGGAUAACCUGCCUCAAGGCUGGGGAAAACAUUUGGAAACAGAUGCUAAUACCGAAUAAAACUUAGUAUCGCAUGAUACAAAGUUAAAAGGCGCUACGGCGUCACCUAGAGAUGGAUCCGCGGUGCAUUAGUUAGUUGGUGGGGUAAAGGCUUACCAAGACGAUGAUGCAUAGCCGAGUUGAUGGACUGACCGGCCACAUUGGGACUGAGACACGGCCCAAACUCCUACGGGAGGCUGCAGUAGGGAAUCUUCCACAAUGGGCGCAAGCCUGAUGGAGCAACGCCGCGUGUGUGAUGAAGGCUUUCGGGUCGUAAAGCACUGUUGUAUGGGAAGAAAUGCUAAAAUAGGGAAUGAUUUUAGUUUGACGGUACCAUACCAGAAAGGGACGGCUAAAUACGUGCCAGCAGCCGCCGUAA
rnacentral:rRNA from 1 species